CAGAUGGCAACGGGGACAGGCCAAGGUGGCUCCUGACAGUGACCUGGGGCCAGAACCGUGCAAAUGAGCUAGAGAAGGAGACUGUGAAAUUCUUUCAGGUGAUCAUGGGAUUUUUGUCUUGGCUAAGCUGAGUGAGCAAAAACCAGGCUUCUCAAAGCCUUGGUUGUUCCUAGGAGCCACGUUCCCUAGAGGACUUGACAGAGGGCCUUGUGAGGUAACAGUCUGCAUCAUGGUUAUAGCUAGUUCAGUCCUCUGACCCCAGCCCUUGUAAUGUUACCCCAGAGACAGCAACCUGGCCAUCUGGGAGCAUCAGGCUCCUGGUGACUUCAGAGGCAGGAGGGGGAGGCUCCCUCUGGGCUCCUUAAAGGUUGGACUGUAAACCUGGAACACUUUCUGGCAGAAUAUGUCCUGAGUCCCUUCUGGAGGCUGAACUGCAAAUGGGUUCUCAACCUAUAGACCACACAACAGCUGGGAAAAGGCUUAGGAUCGCUCACACUCCAGAUGUUCGUGCCUCACAAUCUGAUGCUGAGGGAGAAGUUUAGGUGCUAAGAAAGAGGAGUCUCUCCACUUCUGUUUUUCUAUAAGAUGUCCGGGGUGCUUUUAUAAUGGGAAAUAAAGGCUUUGAUUUAAAAAGUA